rnacentral:rRNA from 1 species
AUUGAACGCUGGCGGCAGGCCUAACACAUGCAAGUCGAGCGGAUGAAGGGAGCUUGUUCCUGGAUUCAGCGGCGGACGGGUGAGUAAUGCCUAGGAAUCUGCCUGGUAGUGGGGGAUAACGUCCGGAAACGGGCGCUAAUACCGCAUACGUCCUGAGGGAGAAAGUGGGGGAUCUUCGGACCUCACGCUAUCAGAUGAGCCUAGGUCGGAUUAGCUAGUUGGUGGGGUAAAGGCCUACCAAGGCGACGAUCCGUAACUGGUCUGAGAGGAUGAUCAGUCACACUGGAACUGAGACACGGUCCAGACUCCUACGGGAGGCAGCAGUGGGGAAUAUUGGACAAUGGGCGAAAGCCUGGUCCAGCCAUGCCGCGUGUGUGAAGAAGGUCUUCGGAUUGUAAAGCACUUUAAGUUGGGAGGAAGGGCAGUAAGUUAAUACCUUGCUGUUUUGACGUUACCAACAGAAUAAGCACCGGCUAACUUCGUG